rnacentral:rRNA from 1 species
UACCCUCCUUCUAAAUUCGAUAUAUGAGUAUUAAUUUACUUGUAUAUGGUUUUAGACGUUUACUGUGAGAAAAUUAGAGUGUUCAAAGCAGGCAUUUGCUUGAAUAUAUUAGCAUGGAAUAAUCAUGUAUGAUUUUCAUGAUGUAUUUGAUUGGUUUGGUUCAUGAGAAUAAGAUUAAAAGGGACAGUUGGGGGUAUUCAUAUUCAAUAGUCAGAGGUGAAAUUCUCGGAUUUAUGGAAGAUGAACAAGUGCGAAAGCAUUUACCAAGGAUGUUUUCAUUAAUCAAGAACGAAAGUUAGGGGAUCGAAGAGGAUUAGAUACCCUCGUAGUCUUAACUAUAAACGAUACCGACUAGAGGUUAGUGAAGGUCAUUGUGUCUUGACUAGUAUCUUAUGAG